GACGAACGCUGGCGGCGUGCUUAACACAUGCAAGUCGAACGGAAAGGCCCUGCUUUCGUGGGGUGCUCGAGGGGCGAACGGGUGAGUAACACGUGAGUAACCUGCCCUUGACUUUGGGAUAACUUCAGGAAACUGGGGCUAAUACCGGAUAGGAUCUCCUGCUGGAUGGUGGGGGUUGGAAAGUUUCGGCGGGUGGGGAUGGACUCGCGGCUAAUCAGCUUGCUGGUGGGGUAGUGGCUUACCCAGGGAUAGACGGAUAGGCGACACGGGAGGGUGGACGGGGACCAGAGGACUGAGAGACGCACCAGACUGGUAUGGUGGGCAGUAGGGGGGAGUAUGACACAGUGAGAGGAAGUGUGAUGCAGAAACGCUGCGGGUGGGAAGACGGCUUGCGGGGAGUGAACAGCUGUCGGCUGAGACGCAGCGGUAGUGACGGUAACCAAUGAAGAAGCACCGGCUAACUACGUG
rnacentral:rRNA from 1 species